UUCCUUUACAUACAUUCAGGCGCGCGCAGUAUUUCGCGUUCCCGCCACCAGGCGAUAGAUUGUCGCUUCAGCCAGCUCCGGUGUGUGUUGGGUGCGUUUGCUCGGCCCUUAUUGUUCCCCCGAGAUGGUACAUCACCCAGCCCCAAGGCUUCCUCGGCACUGCUAAGUUGUGAACCAAUUUUCCAUUAUCUCCGUCACGCUACUCGAUCUGUUGCGCGUAGCAGGCCUGUUUGGAGCGGCAUUUGCCGACGGCUAGCAUUGCUACCGAGCGACGGACCACGCAAUGACACACGCAACGCAAGGAUCGUUCAAAUAUUCAGCAGUCGAGCCUUGGUCUACCUCUGGGCGCGUUUAUUGUUAUCCGAUGCUAGUAACAGAGAGUGGCGUUCGAGUAAUCGAAUCAUAGUGAUACGUUUGGUGAUGUGAAAGUGUUGUUGAUUUGUGCCUGGAAUCAAUUUCGACAAACAAUUGUGAUACGCUUGGUGCAGUUUACGGUACGUGAAAUGUGUAAUGAGGCCUUGUGUCUGGAACAGUAAGUGAUAGUGAGUGACUCCGAGCGUGAUCAUGUUGACACAUUUCUAGAGUCAAAGAACAGCCUGUUGUCCUGUAACUUGUUCGAAUGGACGUGUAGGACAACAGCUUGUGAUCCGUAGUUGUAUACAAAUCAUCGACAGAGAGUUUCUACAUGUGAGCAACAGGUGGAAAUGCAGUUUAAAAUAAUGAACAGAGUUACUUGUGCGUAGUGAUCACCUUUGCAGUACCAACACAGAACAAGCAGGUCGUUCAGCCAAUUAGAUGAACUUACGAGUGUAGCGAACGGGAUAGCCUUGAAGGAGCAAUUACUUUUCGCUCAUUAUCCGAUCGUUUGCUUAAGAAGGGCUGCUUCCGUCUUACAACGUGCAGCACACGGCGGCUUAAAACCGUCAAAAGAUCUGUGCCAUCACCGUUCUUAUUGGAAGCGGCGGAGCAAUUAAGGACGCACUUCUUGCUAAGUACCAAUUAUCGCUCGCCAGCAACAGGAAUAUUGGGACUACGAGCUACGCAUGGUGUGAUGGGAAUCUUUUCGUCUGAUGGGUGACAUUCUUCAGUGUGAAGAUUGGGUUUGAUAGAAGCAUAAUAAUCCUUUUUUAUAUCAUUUCCCAUUUAAAUGUGUGACAAACGUGUGACAACAAUCGUGAAACAAUUGUAACAUAAACUUUACCACUAAGAAGAGGAUUUGCACCAGGUUCAUUAAAACGCCUAAUGUACUUGGUGAAUCCUCGGAAGAAUUUUUUUAACUUUGUCUGCAGUAAACUAACUAACCCCCCUCCAUUAUCCUUCCAGCGAGGACUACCAUCAUCAGCGAUGCACCUACUGUCCAACAGAGACGACACCGAUUGCAUGUCCGCCGGAUUGCUUCUGUAAGCAUCCACCGGACGAUGGUCGGGAUCACAUCUAAGCUGGGGUGAUCGGAAAAACGUUGUAUCGUAUAGGAGUUGUUUAAAAUGGGCUCCUGUUUCUCAUCAAACUAUAAGCAAUCUAAAUAUGGUUCCCUGGACAUAAAUACAGCACAUGAGCUACCAGCAGCUAGGCUUCGUUCGGUAUCAAGAUACUCUUUUUAACCCGGACGAUCACAGAAGCCGUAUCAGUGUGAUACGUCAUUGUGUUUCCCCUAUUAUCAGUUCAAGUGUACUUGAUCACUUGGUCAAAAGGAUCGUCGUCGUCAGUGUAAAAUACUAAUAGCCAUGCCCGCUUCUUCUUAGCAACGUAUCACAUUUGAUGUAGCAUAGCAAGGUGUGCAGAAUAGCAGUAGUAACACCGAUAGCAUUCGUAAAUGUUAACUCUAAACAUGGCGUAAUGAAUAGAACGCGGUAAGCUUUUUCUCAUGCAUCGUCAAUCCAGUGUAACUGAUAUAGCUCUAACCGGACAAGCAAAUAGUAACAUAAUGCAGUAACAUAUUCAGUAAAUAUACCCAUCAGUCAAAUAAAAGCAACCAUCUUAUCAAA